AAAGCACCAGGUACUAUUGAUGGUGGAGGUCAAAGGAGAAUUACCAGACUGGUUUAGAAAGAUAGAAAGACAGUAGUUAAUCAAAUAAACACUUGUUACAAGCACAAGGUAUGCAGAAGAGCAUCUCUGAACGCACAACAUGUCAAACCUUGAACACACGAGCUCCAGCAGCAGCAGCCGGAGACAACACAGGUGUCAGGUGAGUGUACAUUUCAGGUUUUCUGGGUGAAAAAACAAAAGAAAAGAAAACAAUGCUUGUAUAAAUUCCUCGGGUUUUUGAUGUGUUACACAAGCCACGAUAUCAUUAAUCAUCCAUUGUUUGCAGCAAUGCUCCAUCCUCUCCUCCUUCAGUGACUCUGGAGGUGCAGUGGAAACACAGAUGUCCCUCACGUUGUUCUGGUUCAGCGUCCUGCAGACGGCGUGUGCGGGGCUGAACAGGGAACUACUACACUGGGAAACACAGAAUGAGACGCAGGGAAAAGAGGACACUUUGGACAAUCGAUCGCAGCGGUAUCUGCCUGGUCUCGUCGCCAAGGUGACGGCCUACAGUAUCUCCGUGUCAAAGUUUUAGAGACACCGAACCAGGCUUUCAUAACACCUCGGCUGGAUUAUUGUAAUUCUCUGUAUGUGGACUUAGACCAGUCAUCUGUUCAACAACUCCAGCUGGUCCAGAGGCCACGUCACACCUGUUUCGCGCUCCCUCCACUGGCUUCCAAUUUGU